CUCAUUUAAGUUGUAGUUUUUGGGAGACAAUCUAACGCCGGUUUCGCACUCAUUGUUCUAAUAUAAUAGCAGGCAAUGAGUUUCAUCUACGAACUCGGAGGUGUACUAGUGGGUUGGGAACAUGGUGGGCUUGGAUUGGGAAUCCCGUGUCUAUUAAUUUUCUGUGUUUGCCUUUUCUUUUUCAAUAAAAAAAUAUGGGUCAAGUUUUUUCAUUUGAAUUCACUUCAUUUGUAUAUUCUUUUGGGUAAAAGAUGAUGUUGUCGAGAAUGGAGGCUGUGAAGAAAAGUGGAGGAGGUUUUGGUAACCGGAAGUUGUUAAAGAUAUUGAAACCAUAAACAAAGCUUUGUACUUGGAUAGAAGUUCAAUUGUAGUUUUUAUCUGCUUGGAUUGAACACCCGAAAUGAGAGGUUCACUCUUUUGAUGAUGCUCCUUGUUGUGUACCGUAAGAGGUGUGACGGGGUUCUCGUGACCCAAUUGGCCAAGGAGUUUUUCUCUCUAUGCUUCACUUCUGAUUGUGCUGGAGAUGGAUUUGGGGAAGCACCGUCUGGAUCUGAUGAGGUUGCUUCCACUCACUCUGGAGGAGCUUGAGGAGGAGAGUUUGACAAUUCCUUAAUUUUUCUUUUGCUUUUUUAAUUAAUUUUGAUAGUGAUGUAAGCGGCUCGAUUUGAGUUGGGUUUCGUGAAAUUCAUGAUUCAAUAUAAUUAAAUUUGAACGAG
rnacentral:lncRNA from 1 species